UCGAGCGGAACGAGUUGUUUGAACCUUCGGGGGACGACACGGCGUCGAGCGGCGGACGGGUGAGUAAUGCCUGGGAAAUUGCCCUGAUGUGGGGGAUAACCAUUGGAAACGAUGGCUAAUACCGCAUAAUAGCUUCGGCUCAAAGAGGGGGACCUUCGGGCCUCUCGCGUCAGGAUAUGCCCAGGUGGGAUUAGCUAGUUGGUGAGGUAAGGGCUCACCAAGGCGACGAUCCCUAGCUGGUCUGAGAGGAUGAUCAGCCACACUGGAACUGAGACACGGUCCAGACUCCUACGGGAGGCAGCAGUGGGGAAUAUUGCACAAUGGGCGCAAGCCUGAUGCAGCCAUGCCGCGUGUAUGAAGAAAGCCUUCGGGUUGUAAAGUACUUUCAGC
rnacentral:rRNA from 1 species